GUAGAAAUCCUUGACUACAAGACAAAGAAGCAACUAUGCUUUCUGGAUAAGGUUGAACCACACGCCUCAAUUAAUGACAUCAGAUUGAUGUUCCAUAAAUUUUAUCCUCAAUGGUAUCCAGCAAGACAGUCAAUGAGACUAGAUCCCAAGGGAAAAGCCUUGAGGAAUGAGGAGAUCCUGCAAAGACUUCCAGUUGGCACAACAGCUACCCUCUAUUUCAAAGACUUGGGGCCACAAAUCGGAUGGACAAUGGUGUUUUUGAUCGAAUAUGCAGGCUCACUCUUCAUCUACCUCCUGUUUUACCUCCGAAUGCCUUUUGUCUAUGGUCUGGAAAAGAAACUCAUGUCAAGGAGGCUUCCUGUGGUCAACCUGGCAUGCAUCUGCCAUUCUUCCCACUACAUCAAACGAUUGAUUGAAACCAUCUUUGUCCAUCGGUUCUCUCAUGGGACCAUGCCUCUGAAGAGUAUCUUUAAGAAUUGCUUCUUUUACUGGGGAUUUGCUGCUUGGCUUGCUUAUUACAUCAAUCAUCCUCUUUACACGCCUCCUUCCUAUGGACAAAAGCAGAUCAAUUUUUCUCUGAUCACCUUUCUGUUAUGUGAAGCCGGAAACUUUUCAAUCCACGUGGAACUCAAUAACCUAAGAGGAAAUGGACCAAAGACCCGUCGUAUCCCCUACCCAACCAAGAAUCCAUUCACGUGGCUAUUUUUCUUUGUCUCCUGCCCUAAUUACACUUAUGAGGUGGGGGCCUGGAUCAGUUUCACCAUCAUGACUCAAUGUGUCCCAGUGGGAUUAUUCACGCUGGUUGGCUUCAUUCAGAUGACAAUCUGGGCAAGGGACAAACACUGCACUUACGUAAGAGAGUUCAAGGAUUAUCCCAGUCUCCGGAUGCCAAUCAUUCCUUUCUUGCUGUAG
rnacentral:lncRNA from 1 species